CCUACGGGGGGCAGCAGUGGGGGAUAUUGCACAAUGGGGGUAACCCUGAUGCAGCGACGCCGCGUGGGUGAAGAAGCGCCUCGGCGCGUAAAGCCCUGUCAGCAGGGAAGAAAAUGACGGUACCUGAAGAAGAAGCCCCGGCUAACGACGUGCCAGCAUCCGCGGUAAUACGUAGGGGGCAAGCGGUAUCGGGGUUUACUGGGUGUAAAGGGGGCGCAGACGGGUAUGCAAGCCAGGAGUGAAAGCCCGGGGGCCAACCCCGGGACUGCCCUUGAAACUGGGGGGCUGGAGUGCAGGAGGGGGAGGCGGAAUUCCUGGUGUAGCGGUGAAAUGCGUAGAUAUCAGGAGGAACACCGGUGGCGAAGGCGGCCUGCUGGACUGCAACUGACGUUGAGGCCCGAAAGCGUGGGGAGCAAACAGGAUUAGAUACCCGGGUAGUC
rnacentral:rRNA from 1 species